rnacentral:rRNA from 1 species
AUUGAACGCUGGCGGCAGGCCUAACACAUGCAAGUCGAGCGGAUGAAGGGAGCUUGCUCCUGGAUUCAGCGGCGGACGGGUGAGUAAUGCCUAGGAAUCUGCCUGGUAGUGGGGGAUAACGUCCGGAAACGGGCGCUAAUACCGCAUACGUCCUGAGGGAGAAAGUGGGGGAUCUUCGGACCUCACGCUAUCAGAUGAGCCUAGGUCGGAUUAGCUAGUUGGUGGGGUAAAGGCCUACCAAGGCGACGAUCCGUAACUGGUCUGAGAGGAUGAUCAGUCACACUGGAACUGAGACACGGUACAGACUCCUACGGGAGGCAGCAGUGGAGAAUAUUGGACGAUGGGCGAAAGCCUGAUCCAGCCAUGCCGCGUGUGUGAAGAAGGUCUUCGGAUUGUAAAGCACUUUAAGUUGGGAGGAAGGGCAGUAAGUUAAUACCUUGCUGUUUUGACGUUACCAACAGAAUAAGCACCGGCUAACUUCGUG